AAAAAAAGGAAGGUAGCCGGGCGUGGUGGCUCGCGCCUGUGGUCCCAGCUACUGGGAGGUAGCUGAGGUGGGAGGAUCGUUCGAGGCUCAGUGAGCCAAGAUCGCGCCACUGCACUCCAGCCUGGGCGACAGAGCGAGAGACCCUAACUCACAAAAAAAGAACAUGCUGGUUCUCGGUAUCGGAAGGUGCUUUCAGCUCUCAAUGGAGUUCUAAGCUGGCUCUGAAGUCCCUGGGUGGAGCGUGGUGGGAGAGUAUGAAGGCGAGUGGGGCGGUUGCUGAGACCCCUUUGAGCCCAGACGGAGAGAGAGGCUCCCAGUGCCCAAAUGCGCUUCGGGAUCGGGCAGGCCAGGGAUGGGGCUGGAGUCUCCGGGGAAGAGGCUGUGCAAACUCGGAGAUGAAUUGGUUAGGGCUGGCCUGGGAGUCUACAGAAUCCGAGCUCAGCCACAGCUGAAUCCCCGCGUUACCUAGGAGAAACCACUUCACAUCUUUGUGUUCUAUCCUGUUCUCACCUCUAAAAGGGGGACCCUUCUUACCAGAGUCCAGUGUUGUCCGGGUUUUCGUUCUUUAGCAUUCUAUUCUCGCAGGCCGCAAACAUUUCUGGGUCCUCUAAGUAGGAAAUAACUUCGGUUAAAACAUGCUGCCGUUUAGUGAACCCUGUGCCACAUUACUGUGCUGAACACGCACAUGCCUUAUCACCAGUAAGCUUCACCGAAUACUUUAUAAGUGCCUUUUCUCCCAGGCACUGUAGCUUGUUGGAUUCAACGAUAAUCUUAACUCCAAAAUUUCAUUCCACGGUAGCUGCUCUUCAGUGAGGAAGGAUUUGGUUCUCCUUCGAAAUCUUCUGGUAACCCAUAUUCUACUUUCUGCCUCUAUGAAGUUGCCCAUUCUAGCAACCUCACAUGAAAAUAUUUGCCCAACGUCACACUACUGGAAGCAGAAGAAAGAUUCAAAUCCAGUCUUGAUCCCAAAGUCCUUGUCUUUGCACAAUGCCAUCUCUUUUUUUUCCUUUACUUUUGCACAAUGCCAUCUCUAUGCAAAUUUUUAACUUGGUGUGAUAUAUUAUUAUGGAAUAAGCAAAGCAGUUCUCACUUGAGACUAUCUUCCAGGAACUGAUUCCAAGCUCCAAUAUGAAGAAAGCAGAAUUAAGACUUUCAACUCCUAUUUCCUACAGCCUUCUAUAUUUUCAUGACAAAUAUACUAAUCUCAGUUGCAAACUGAGUAACUAUUACAUGUAUCGGUAAUCUGUGGUGGGGGAAAUGACCUGAUCUCUAUAAGGCCUUGUAUUUUCUGUGGAACAGAUAUGAGAGGUGGUAGACGGAACAAUGGUUACUGGUUAGAUGAUACAAAGACCGUGUCCAGGCUCUACAAUUUAUUAUGUGCCUUAGGUGAGUCUCUAAGCCUCUUUGUUAUCCUGUAAAAUUCUAUCUCACUCUAAGGUUACCCUGAAGAUUAAAUGGGUGAUGGGGGUGAAAUAAAUCACCUGCACAUGACACAGAAAGUGCUGAAUUAAAUGUUUUUUGAAAUUCUGUAGCUACAGCGUAGUAAAGGUAUAAUUUGAUAUAUUUCAUUUUCCUAAAAUAUAAUAUUGAGAAAAUAAUACUUGCAAGCAAAGUGUAAUGGUACCUUUGGAGGAAAGGAACUAAGUUCUGAGUAUUCAUAUUAUCACUACCUUGC